GAGCUUAAAGUGCCUUGAACAACGUGUCUAUGUACAUAUAUACACCUACAAGGGUAAAUCGUGGCCAUUUGUUUUCGACUGGUAUCUUUAUAAACGACCGGGAGGGGAAGUUCCCGGAGUAUAAUCCAUUUGCCGGGGUAAUAUGCUAUUAGCAGACCGUUAUAUACAACCUCCGCUGUCGCCGCCGUUGCUAUCACAUCGGUGAUUUUUGAUACGAUAAUACCACGAGGUCGCUGCCGACGAUAAUUUGCACUCUUUAACGGCAAAACCACAAGAAAUAUAUAUU